rnacentral:rRNA from 1 species
UACGUAGGGCGCAAGCGUUAUCCGGAAUUACUGGGCGUAAAGCGCACGUAGGCGGCUUUGCAAGUCGGGUGUGAAAUCCCCCGGGCUCAACCUGGGAACUGCAUCCGAGACUGCUUUGCUCGAGUAUGGGAGAGGGAAGUGGAAUUUCCGGUGUAGCGGUGAAAUGCGUAGAUAUCGGAAGGAACAUCAGUGGCGAAGGCAGCUCGCUGGGACGGUACUGACGCUGAGACGCGAAAGCGUGGGGAGCAAACAGG